rnacentral:lncRNA from 12 species
UCCUUCUGAGGGCUGUGACCUUGUCUUAUGCUUCAGCAGGAAACAUAUUUUUGGCUGAGACUGAACUCUUUGGAGUGUGUGGAUCUUACAGACAGAGCAGUGUUUGGUCUGCAGCUGUGCCUUGCACUGAUGAGCCUA